ensembl:lncRNA
CUGCUGCUCGACAAAAUUAUUUAAAGCAGGAGUCUGAGGGCGAUGUGGAGGAUCAGAUCAGCUCUGAUUUAAACUCCGGUCUGAGAGCUGAAUCGACCGUGGACCAAUCGGCAGCAGCUCCUUCCCCGUGAGAGAGACCAAACCAUUCAACAACGUCGAAAGUUGCUUACUUCAAGAGGAAAUAUGCGGAGGAGGAGGAUUUACACCGAGGCCUACGUGGAUAUUUUCAAAAAGUAUGUGUUCUUUUCUUCUUCUUUUUGUUCUUUUCAUGCUAGCGUGACUUGAUUUUCUGUGCCUGAAAGACCUUAAUACAACAGCUGAAACGUUUGGUGACUUCAUAGCUGAACAAGCUCUCCAAAUGUUUCUCACUUAUUGCUUCUUUUCUACUGCCUCUUCCUUCUUUUGUCUUCCUUCUUUGCUUCUGUGCAUUCUCGACAUUCACAAUUCUCUCCAUCACUUUAAUGGUUUCACUCUUU